rnacentral:rRNA from 1 species
UAGUAUCAGCGUGCCAGCAGCCGCGGUAAUACGAAGGGUGCAAGCGUUACUCGGAAUUACUGGGCGUAAAGCGUGCGUAGGUGGUUUGUUAAGUCUGAUGUGAAAGCCCUGGGCUCAACCUGGGAACUGCAUUGGAAACUGGCUUACUAGAGUGCGGUAGAGGGUAGUGGAAUUCCCGGUGUAGCAGUGAAAUGCGUAGAUAUCGGGAGGAACAUCUGUGGCGAAGGCGACUACCUGGACCAGCACUGACACUGAGGCACGAAAGCGUGGGGAGCAAACAGGAUUAGAUACCCUGGUAGUCCACGCCCUAAACGAUGCGAACUGGAUGUUGGGAGCAACUUGGCUCUCAGUAUCGAAGCUAACGCGUUAAGUUCGCCGCCUGGGAAGUACGGUCGCAAGACUGAAACUCAAAUGAAUUGACGGG